UCUAUCGUGGUGUAGUUGGUUCUUACACUAGUCUGAUACACAAGUGGGUUGUGGUUCGACUCCACAUGAAAACA